AGCGUAAACCGGGAAGCGGAUCGCGUGGAGUGAAAGUCACCGCAGCGGAGAUGGACAAACCAUGUGGGUGCCCUCCAGGUGUGUGCGACCAUGAAAUGGGAGACUAGCAGGACCCACGUUGGCCAACCGUGGACCUGGUCCCUCCAGUAGGAGUCGUGAGCCAGCUGAAUUUGAAUGCAAAGAUGGAGCAAGGGCCGACUGGAGUCACACUGACAUCCACCCCCAUAACAUGGGGACAGAUCAAGAAAACAAAGCAGGAAGCUGAGAAAAUGCUGGAGCAUCCAUGUGCUUGGCCAUGUUAGCAGUAGUGUCCUGUGAGGAUUGAUUUCCAAAAACUCCUGUUACAUGAGGAAGACACCAAGAAGAGCAAAGAAAAGGAGCCAGGGUGGCUCUUCCUCAGGUGAAGUGGAUAUUUCUCGGUGGAUUAAUCUGUCUCUUUCCUUUCUGAAAUGCCAGAUGGAGUCUCGGUCUGUCGCCCAGCCUGGAGCGUAGUGAUGCGAUCUUGGCUCACUGCAACCUCCACCUCCUGAUUUUAAGGGAUUCUCCUGCCUCAGCCUCCCAAGUAGCU
rnacentral:lncRNA from 10 species